AGGGAGGGGUAGCAACGGCCGGCCGCCGUCGGUUCCGUCCGCACAUCUGGUUGAGGGGCGUCUCCUGUCGCCAUCUGUCAUCGUGAAUGGGGCCGUGCCGACGCGUCAGACGGGACGAACGGGGGAAGUCGGUCCAGAGUCACUGCGCCGCGCGGUUGUGUGAGCAAGCCGUGGGCUAGGUACCGCUCCAGGUCAGACAAUGGUUGGCACUGAAGAGUGCGGCGACACUACAGAGCUGUGAACGAAGACGGUGAACGGCGAGAUGUGGUGACCGCUUGACUGACCUGUGCCCAAAGUCGUGAUCUACCGCUGGGGUCAGUGCGUGAGAAGCUGGACUCGGCACCAACGGAGGACGCAGCUCGACGAGGAAGAUAUGCUGUGUUGAGGGACGUCUGCCGGUUACGACCGGAAGGUUUCCGACGGGACUUGGCAGAACCCACAACAGCAGUAUGAACCCGGCGUGGAGUUAAUGCGUAAUUGCUCGCAUGAGUAACCGAAGAGCGACUUCCAGGCGAAGCUGCCGCAGAAUUCCUGGAGAUGCGCUGGGACAUGGAUCAUAGCAAGGUGGCUCUCAGCGGCAGCUGACCGCUGAGAUGUGUCUGAAACAGCCAAAAGGAAGACUCGAGUUGUGGAUCCAGGGCACUACUGAACGGAAGGCCGGACCAGCUGUAGGGAGACUACAGAAAAGCCGUCGUUCUCAAUCUGCUGAACAUAGGUACUCCUACUGCAGAGGAUCAACUGGGGUUCGACGUGUUAGAACUGGGGUUAGACCGGUUACCAGUGCUCGUGUUCGUCACCUGUUGUUUGAUACUGCUGCGCUGCUGCUGUAAUGUUUGCCACCUGCUAAGCGUUCACAAUGUAUUUUAAGUGAAUAAUAACUUUUUUUAGUGUUUGUCUUGAUUUGUAACGAGUAUAUCAAUUAUCAAGCAUGUUAACCUUUCAUCAAAUGAAGGACUCCACAUAAACAUAGUAUAGGCUGUGGUGGUACAGACACAUACCAUGCUUGGCCGACUGUUGUGUAUUGAUCUAGUCGUUGAAGCGUCCUGAAAGUCUGGAAAUAAACAGGCAUGCCCAAAUGGAUUGGUUCUAAUUAUUUUCCUGUGUGGUUUUAUCGUUUCCCUAUUGCGGGGAAACAAGUGGACAAUUUUGUUUGUAUAUAAACAAGUAUGUUUAUACAAAUAUUUGUAUGUUUACAGACAAAAUAAAUAGUCAUUGUCAAUUUUAAUGGGACCCGAUUUGUUUCCCAGUGCGGUUUUUACUGGCUUCUCCGUACGGGGAAAAAAGCAGACAAGGCAGUAGGGCCAUUGCCAAGUCGGGGA
rnacentral:lncRNA from 1 species